rnacentral:rRNA from 1 species
UACGUAGGGUGCGAGCGUUGUCCGGAAUUACUGGGCGUAAAGAGCUCGUAGGCGGUUUGUCGCGUUGUUCGUGAAAACCUGAGGCUUAACCUUGGGCGUGCGGUCGAUACGGGCAGACUAGAGUACUGCAGGGGAGACUGGAAUUCCUGGUGUAGCGGUGGAAUGCGCAGAUAUCAGGAGGAACACCGGUGGCGAAGGCGGGUCUCUGGGCAGUAACUGACGCUGAGGAGCGAAAGCGUGGGGAGCGAACAGG